GACGUAGGAUGCAAGCGUUGUCCGGAUUUAUUGGGCGUAAAGAGUUCGUAGGCUGUUUGUUAAGUCUGAUGUUAAAGACUGGGGCUCAACCUCGGAAAUGCAUUGGAUACUGGCAGACUGGAGUGCAGUAGAGGCUAGUGGAAUUCCCAGUGUAGCGGUGAAAUGCGUAGAUAUUUGGGGAAAGAACACCGGUGGCGUAAGG
rnacentral:rRNA from 1 species